rnacentral:rRNA from 1 species
AUUGAACGCUGGCGGCAGGCCUAACACAUGCAAGUCGAACGGUAACAGGAAGACGCUUGCUUCUUUGCUGACGAGUGGCGGACGGGUGAGUAAUGUCUGGGAAACUGCCUGAUGGAGGGGGAUAACUACUGGAAACGGUAGCUAAUACCGCAUAACGUCGCAAGACCAAAGAGGGGGACCUUCGGGCCUCUUGCCAUCGGAUGUGCCCAGAUGGGAUUAGCUAGUAGGUGGGGUAACGGCUCACCUAGGCGACGAUCCCUAGCGGGUCUGAGAGGAUGAGCAGCCACACUGGAACUGAGACGCGGUCCAGACUCCUACGGGAGGCAGCAGUGGGGAAUAUUGCACAAUGGGCGCAAGCCUGAUGCAGCCAUGCCGCGUGUAUGAAGAAGGCCUUCGGGUUGUAAAGUACUUUCAGCGGGGAGGAAGGGAGUAAAGUUAAUACCUUUGCUCAUUGACGUUACCCGCAGAAGAAGCACCGGCUAACUCCGUG